rnacentral:rRNA from 1 species
GUGGGGAAUCUUGCGCAAUGGGCGAAAGCCUGACGCAGCCAUGCCGCGUGAAUGAUGAAGGUCUUAGGAUUGUAAAAUUCUUUCACCGGGGACGAUAAUGACGGUACCCGGAGAAGAAGCUCCGGCUAACUUCGUGCCAGCAGCCGCGGUAAUACGAAGGGGGCUAGCGCUGCUCGGAAUUACUGGGCGUAAAGGGCGCGUAGGCGGACAGCUUAGUCAGAGGUGAAAGCCCAGGGCUCAACCUUGGAAAUGCCUUUGAUACUGGCUGUCUUGAGUUUGGGAGAGGUGAGUGGAACUCCGAGUGUAGAGGUGAAAUUCGUAGAUAUUCGGAAGAACACCAGUGGCGAAGGCGACUCACUGGCCCAAUACUGACGCUGAGGCGCGAAAGCGUGGGGAGCAAACAGGAUUAGAAACCCGGGUAGUCC